CCUACGGGUGGCAGCAGUGGGGAAUAUUGCACAAUGGGGGAAACCCUGAUGCAGCGACGCCGCGGGAGUGAAGAAGUAUUUCGGUAUGUAAAGCUCUAUCAGCAGGGAAGAAAUAGCGACCUUUGGGUCGCCAGACGGUACCUGACUAAGAAGCCCCGGCUAACUACGUGCCAGCAGCCGCGGUAAUACGUAGGGGGCAAGCGUUAUCCGGUUUUACUGGGUGUAAAGGGGGCGUAGACGGCAAGGCAAGACAGAAGUGAAAGGGCAGGGCUCAACCCUGUAAAUGCUUUGGAACUGUGGUGCUAGAGUGCAGGAGAGGUAAGUGGAAUUCCUAGUGUAGCGGUGAAAUGCGUAGAUAUUAGGAGGAACACCAGUGGCGAAGGCGGCUUACUGGACUGUAACUGACGUUGAGGCUCGAAAGCGUGGGAGCAAACAGGAUCAGAUACCCCUGUAGUC
rnacentral:rRNA from 1 species